rnacentral:rRNA from 1 species
AGUUACUUGACGUAGACCCGAAACCGGGCGACCUACCCAUGAGCAGGAUGAAGCGAAAGUAAAAUUUCGUGGAGGUCCGAACCCACGGGCGUUGAAAAGCUCGGGGAUGACUUGUGGGUAGCGGUGAAAUUCCAAUCGAGCCCGGAGAUAGCUGGUUCUCCCCGAAAUAGCUUUAGGGCUAGCCUCAAGGUGAGAGAUACGGAGGUAGAGCACUG